rnacentral:rRNA from 1 species
GAUGAACGCUCGCGGCAGGCCUAACACAUGCAAGUCGAGGGAUAAGCCUUCGGGCUAAGACCGGCGCACGGGUGCGUAACGCGUAUACAAUCUGCCUUUUAUCCGGGGGAUAGCCCGAAGAAAUUUGGAUUAAUACCCUAUGGUAUAAGAGCACGGCAUCGUGCACUUAUUAAAGCUACGGCGGUAAAAGAUGAGUAUGCGUUCUAUUAGCUAGUUGGAGAGGUAACGGCUCCCCAAGGCGACGAUAGAUAGGGGUUCUGAGAGGGAUGUCCCCCACACUGGUACUGAGAUACGGACCAGACUCCUACGGGAGGCAGCAGUGAGGAAUAUUGGACAAUGGUCGGAAGACUGAUCCAGCCAUGCCGCGUGCAGGAUGACGGCCUUAUGGGUUGUAAACUGCUUUUGUAAGGGAAGAAUAAGGAGUACGUGUACUUUGAUGACGGUACCUUACGAAUAAGCAUCGGCUAACUCCGUG